AACAAGAACAUGUGAUGUCAUCUAAGGAACAGUCAACAUUUUGAAUGAGUCUUUUGAAAACAUAAGAACGUCCUUUGUGUUGUUGUGAACAAAUCUUCUGUAUGACUCCAUUAUGCAAAAAUAUAUCUUUAAAAGCUGAGACAGCAUUGUUUACUCCUGUUUCAGUCCCUCCAAGACUCUUUUCACACCUGUAAGGCUUCUUAAUACAAAGCUGUGAGCUCAAUGUGAACAAAGCAAAGAUUUUGUGUUUCUCCAGCCCUCAUUCCCAACCGAUCGCUAAUGCAAAUAUUUCAACUACUACAUUUCCCCAUUAACUGGGGAAUGGAUCAAAUAAAUGAAUCAUAAAAAUAUUUGGGAAUUUGGUUGGAUGAAAAGCUCAGAUUUAAAACCAGAUUGACAAUUCCUUAAAAAAUAAUGCAGAACGUGAGACUGUUCCUUGACACAGUUCCUUGUGCUUUAUCACAAAUGCAAGGUCUCUCAGUCUCUAUUGUCAUCUGUAUAAAAGUGCAGGCUCAGCCUCUUUAAGUUUGACUUACCAUUGUGAUCUGUAUGAGAGUGCAGGCUCAGCCUCUUUAAAUUUGAUUUACCAUUGUGAUCUGUAUGAGAGUGCAGGCUCAGCCUCUUUAAGUCUGACUUACCAUUGUGAUCUGUAUGAGAGUGCAGGCUUAGCCUUUUUACAUCUCUGACUCACCAUUGUGAUCUGUAUGAGAGUGCAGGCUCAGCCUCUUUAAGUUUGACUUACCAUUGUGAUUUGUAUGAGAGUGCAGGCUCAGCCUCUUUAAGUUUGACUUACCAUUGGUAUCUGUAUGAGAGUGCAGGCUUAGCCUUUUUACAUCUCUGACUCACCAUUGUGAUCUGUAUGAGUGCAGGCUCAGCCUCUUUAAGUUUGAUUUACCAUUGUGAUCUGUAUGAGAGUGAAGGCUCAGCCUCUAAGAUUGACUCACCAUUGUGAUCUGUAUGAGAGUGCAGGCUCAGCCUCUUUAAAUUUGAUUUACCAUUGUGAUCUGUAUGAGAGUGGCAUGUGUUUCAGUGGUAGUGGUGACGUGUUUCAGUGGUAGGUGGCAUGUGUUUCAGUGGUAGGUGGCAUGGGUUUCAGUGGUAGUGGGUAGCAUGUGUUUCAGUGGUAGUGGGUAGCAUGUGUUUCAGUGGUAGUGGGUGGCAUGGGUUUCAGUGGUAGGUGAUAUGUGUUUCAGUGGUAGAGGGUAGCAUGUGUUUCAGUGGUAGUGGGUAGCAUGUGUUUCAGUGGUAGUGGGUGGCAUGGGUUUCAGUGGUAGGUGAUAUGUGUUUCAGUGGAAGCGGGUGGCAUGUGUUUCAGUGGUAGUGGGUGGCAUGUGUUUCAUUGGUAGAGGAUGGCAUGUGUUUCAGUGGUAGUGGGUGGCAUAUGUUUCAGUGGUAGUGGAUGACAUGUGUUUCAGUGGUAGCAGGUGGCAUGUGUUUCAGUAGUAGUGGGUGGCAUGUGUUUCAUUGGCAGAGGGUAACAUGUGCUUCAGUGGUAGCAGGUGGCAUGUGUUUCAGUGGUAGUGGGUGGCAUGUGUUUCAGUGGUAGUGGGUAACAUGUGCUUCAGUGGUAGCAGGUGGCAUGUGUUUCAGUGGUAGUGGGUGACAUGUGUUUCAGUGGUAGCAGGUGACAUGUGUUUCAGUGGUAGCAGGUGACAUGUGUUUCAGUGGUAGCAGGUGACAUGGGUUUCAGUGGUAGGUGGUAUGUGUUUCAGUGGUAGUGGGUGGCAUGUGUUCCAGUGGUAGCGGGUGGUAUGUGUUUCAGUGGUAGAUGAAAUGCGGUUCAGUGGUAGCCACCACUUUUCCACUUUUCUGAGGGGAAAGGUGUAUGGUUGACACAUUUUAGACAAUAUAGACAAAGAAGAAAAAUAAAAGUU